rnacentral:rRNA from 2 species
UACAGAGGUCCCAAGCGUUGUUCGGAUUCAUUGGGCGUAAAGGGUGCGUAGGCGGCGAGGUAAGUCGGAUGUGAAAUCCCGGGGCUCAACCCCGGAACUGCAUUCGAUACUGCUUUGCUCGAGGACUGGAGAGGAGAUUGGAAUUCACGGUGUAGCAGUGAAAUGCGUAGAUAUCGUGAGGAAGACCAGUGGCGAAGGCGGAUCUCUGGACAGUUCCUGACGCUGAGGCACGAAGGCUAGGGUAGCGAACGGG